GGAGUUUGGACCGUGUCUCAGUUCCAAUGUGGGGGACCUUCCUCUCAGAACCCCUACUGAUCGAUGGCUUGGUGGGCCGUUACCCCGCCAACAACCUAAUCAGACGCAUCCCCAUCCCUUAGCGGUGAACCUUUGGUAUUAUUCAGAUGUCCUCAUAAUACAACAUAGGGUAUUAAUCCGCAUUUCUACGGGCUAUGCCCUACUAAGGGGAAGGUUGGAUACGCGUUACUCACCCGUGCGCCGGUCGCCAUCUAUCAAAGCAAGCUUCGAUAAUGCUGCCCCUCGACUUGCAUGUGUUAAGCCUGUAGCUAGCGUUCAUC
rnacentral:rRNA from 1 species